rnacentral:rRNA from 1 species
UGAGUAACACGUAUCCAACCUGCCGUCUACUCUUGGCCAGCCUUCUGAAGGAAGAUUAAUCCAGGAUGGCAUCAUGAGUUCACAUGUCCGCAUGAUUAAAGGUAUUUUCCGGUAGACGAUGGGGAUGCGUUCCAUUAGAUAGUAGGCGGGGUAACGGCCCACCUAGUCUUCGAUGGAUAGGGGUUCUGAGAGGAAGGUCCCCCACAUUGGAACUGAGACACGGUCCAA